CAUCGAUGUGAGGAUAAACGAUUCGGAAAAUAUGAUGUCGAUCAGGAAAAUAUUUCCAGACUACAAUUAUCUGAUCGAUG